rnacentral:lncRNA from 1 species
AAAAAAAAAAUCUACAUUUUCGAUUAGAAUUGUCGGUGCUACAAUGCUCCCAUUUGUGAUGAUGCAGAUCCAUAAAGUGAUUUAAGCUUGAGAAACUGCAUCCACAAUAUUGAUAAGGAAACAAAUGGAAAUCUCUAAAAACAGUGAAAUUUCAGUGACAACAAAACAUGACUAUGAUAGAGUAAGUGAGGUCAAAGCAUUUGAUGAAACAAAAGAUGGUGUUAAAGGACUUGUUGAUGCUUCUGUCACAAAAAUUCCUCGCAUGUUCCAUCAUAAAUUCGACAAGGAUUUAUCUUCAACUUCAAGCAACAUCACCAAACUUGAUGUUCCUACUAUUGACCUUGUUGAUAUUCAUCAAGAUCCAACAAGAAGGAAAAUAGUUGUUGAGCAAAUUAGAGAGGCAUCUGAGAAAUGGGGCUUCUUUCAAAUUGUUAAUCAUGGAAUUGAAGUGAGUGUUUUGGAUGAGAUGAAGAAUGGAGUGAUUAGAUUCUACGAGCAAGAUUCUGAAGUGAAAAGAGAACUAUACUCACGUGAACCUUUGAGGCCUUUGGUUUAUAAUAGCAACUUUGAUCUUUAUACUUCGGCAGCUGCUUGUUGGAGGGAUACCUUUUCUUGUCUUAUGGCUCCAAAAUCUCCUAAACCAGAAGAUUUGCCAUCAGUAUGCAGGUAUAUUAUAGAUAUAAUCUUUAAUUUCACCACCAGUAUCCUGCCCACUGGACCACCUAAUUUGGUUCGGGAGUCAGUUCUGGCAUCAAGUGAUUUCAGUCCCCUUUCGAUCGUAGUUGCGGGGGGAUCAAACUCUUUAACUCAAUCUACUACUAUACAGUUCUCACUCAUGGACAUAAGUAAAAGCUACCAGUUCCUUACUCAAAGAACUCGUAACGGUACUUGGAUUGGAGUAGAAACUUGAUCCUACUAAUUACGUAGAACCAUGAACCAUCAAGUGAGUUCGAGGUGGUUCAUGCUUUUUAUAUUAGUCAUUAUAUGCUAAGGCAAAGGUUGUAACCAUGGUCAUGCGUGCCGUAAGCGGGCUCUGGUGGGGGAACCCGUAGGAAGGGGGACAACCCCGAGCUUAAUUACGACACCAGCCUACCGAUCCUACGUAGGAUCUCUAACCUGACUUACGUUGCUAACAAUAGCCUAGGAUCAGGAUGAUGUAAAAUCAAGGAAUAGUAAAAACACACCGACUUUUAAUAAAAGAUAUAUUAAAUCUAAGUCUUGUCACGUUCCUUAAUAUUGCCGUGAAGUAUGGUUAAAUGUGACUGAUAUAUUCUCUCUAUUGCAGCCGCAGAGACAUUAAAAACAUUGGUGUUGCGGUAAAGGUUGCAGUCACAGGGUUUAUUUUUCAUAAAAAAUGAUUUGAAUUUAUUUGGUUAUGUCUAUUAGGAAUUUUGUAUAUGCAAGAGUUAUAUAUUUUGGCCUUACAUCUCUGACCAAUUGUACUUACAUCUCUGACUACAGAGCGGGGCUGCGGUACCUUUCUAUUAAUCAAACUUAGAGUUUACAGAGUAAAACUUGUGUUUAAAUAUUACGGUCUUGUUUACAAAAUUACCCCUGAACUAUGAGCCUUGCUCGAGCAACUUGCCAAUUUAUCAAUAAACCUCGAGUCAUAUCUAACAAUAUCAUAUCUUUGUAACAGAUUUUGAUAAUAGCUGAGAUUAAACACUAAGAUAUUAUGUGCAUAUGGUUGCAGAGAUAUACUGCUGGAAUACACAAAACAAGUUAUGAAACUGGGAAAUGUAUUGUUUGAGUUAUUAUCAGAAGCACUUGGAUUGAAUCCAAACUACUUAAAUGACAUGAUGAGAUGCGAUGAUGGACUUGCAAUUGCUUGCCAUUACUAUCCUUCUUGUCCUGAACCAGAAUUGACUUUAGGAGCAGCCAGACAUAGCGAUAUUGACUUUAUCACUGUGCUUCUGCAAGAUCAUAUUGGUGGCCUCCAAGUUCUUCAUGAAAAUAAUUGGGUUGAUGUAUCACCUCUUCCUGGUGCUCUUGUAAUCAACAUUGGCGAUCUUCUACAGGUAAUUUUUAUUGAGAUUUUUUUACACCGUCAGUUAAUCACAAUUCUAUCAUUUUUAUGACUUUUAAGAUUAAUAUGAUCAAAAUCAAAUGUUUGUAGUAAUCCAACAGUUAUGAUCAAUUGACAAUAUAAAAUUGUUAAUGCAUAUGAACUAAGCUCAUUUUCAUCUUUUGCUUGUUUUUUGUUUGGAUAAUUUCUUGUGAUUGUAUAGCUUUUAAGAGAGUGAAAGAUGCAAUUUUUCUUUAUUCAUAUUUCUCAGUCUUGUUGCAUCAUGAUUCAUAAUAUUACUUUUUAAAACAUGAGUUCUUGGGAUGAACAAUUAUUAUCGAGACUUUAUUUACCUCACCGCUGAACUCAAGAUUAUCAGAUUCAUUCCCUUAUGAACCGGAAGGUUAACACCAGUUGUGAAUAGAAUUAAAAAUUCACACCAAUAGUACUUUGAUGUGUACGUGCAGCAACCGAUAACCAAGUAAUGCAAUAAUGAUCACGAACAAAAAUGAGAAACACAAUCAAAGAGAAGAAAAACACACAAUAUUGUUUACCCAUUUCAGUCCAACAAAGGCCUACACAUGGGGGAAAGAGCAGUCUUCCGUUCUACUAAUCAAUUGAGUUUUGUUACACAAAGAUUCACAAAGGAGUUACAAGAAUUAACCUUCAAUCCUAGUUCUACCAUUUUCUCGAAUCUCCCAAAAGCAUUCAACUUUUAACCCUAAAGGUUUCCUCUUUCGAUCUAUCUAAGAUUGCUUUCUUUGUUUUUCACUCACUCAAACAUUAUGUUGUUUAUAUAUCGGCAUCAAUCUACUUAUAAUAUUGCAGUGCAAGACAUAACUUUAUGGACUACAACUUGCCAAACAAGAUUGUUAGUCUUGCGCAUUAAGAAAUAUUCUUGUGGCCCAUAUAUCUUGCCAACCAAUAUUGUUAAUCUUACACUUCAAGAGAUAUCCUUAUGGUCCACAUGUCUUGCCAACCGAGAUUACUAGUCUUGCACUUCAAGAAAUAUCCUUGUAACACACAUAUUUUGCUAACAAGUAGCUUAAUAAUUUUGAGUCAUACACAACAACACCGAUAAAAAAAAAGGCAUGAAUAUUUACUUUUUUUUGUUGAUUAACUAAAUUAACAAAUUUGUUGAAAACAGCUUAUAACAAAUGACAAAUUCAAGAGUGUUGAGCACAGAGUGGUGGCAAACCAUGUAGGUCCAAGAGUAUCAGUUGCAAGCUUUUUUAGAAGUUUUCAGCCAUCAACAAGGCUUUAUGGUCCUAUAAAGGAAUUAGUAUCAGAAGAUAAUCCUCCAAUGUACAAGGAAACUACAGUUCAGGAUUAUGUUGAAUUCUCCAUGGCAAGAGGCUUUGAUGGAAUAACUUCUUCUUUGCCAUAUUUCAAGAUUGGAAAUUUCUGAUGCACACACAACAAAUAUGGUUUAACAUGUUUUACAUUAUAAUUAAAAGAACUUUGUAAAAUUUACUUUGCUAUAUUUGGUACAUGCACAUGCGGCAUCUUUUUUUUAUUGUCCAAACUUGGCAUACAUUUAGAUUCUAUAUUUGUGUGGAUGUGUUAGAGUCGGGAUCCGUUGACACCAGGUGUCAAANNNNNNNNNNNNNNNNNNNNNNNNNNNNNNNNNNNNNNNNNNNNNNNNNNNNNNNNNNNNNNNNNNNNNNNNNNNNNNNNNNNNNNNNNNNNNNNNNNNNNNNNNNNNNNUAAGUUUGUUAAAUAUUGUUUUUAGUCUUUUUUUUUUUUUUUGAAGAAGCUAAAUUAGCCACCCAAAUUAAAUUUUUAGCCAUAUUGAAUUUUCUCCCAAAUUUUUUGCCCUAAAAAGUUCUAUUACUUUAUGGUAGGCACACUGAUAAAUCAAAGAUUGCAAAAAUAUGAUAAUACGAAACACAAAAAACCAUAUUUCAUAUUAUUAAUUCACAAAGAAUUAAUUAUAUUGGAGGGAAAAAAAAGCUUUUUUUUCCACAAACUCCAUGAAGAACAUGUUUUCUUCUUUUUCUUUUUUUUUUGAAAACCCAUGAACAACAUGUUGAUAGACCCACGCCAUUAAAAUAAGUUAAGGACAAAUUUUCAAAGGAAAAUAAAUUAAGAGGCAAGAGGUCGAAACAAGAGCACCAAACAUUGUUCUCAUCUGGGAGUAAAAACGAGGAGUAAUUUGGUGAGUAAUGAUCAAGUGGGCAUAAUUGAAGAAUAAACAUGGACCAUUAGAUCAAUUAAAAUCGAUGGAUAAGAUUUGGUGUCAAAAUUAACUUUGACACAUGGUGUCAAUGGAUCUGACACGAUGUAUUAUUCGUCUCAAAAGGAACAUUCAUUAUUAUUAUUAUUAUUAUUAUUAUUAUUAUUAUUAUUAUUAUUAUUAUGUCAAAAAAAAUUAAUUAUUACUUAUGUGAAAUGGUUAAAUGAAUUACUUCAUGUAUUACAAAAGGGAAAAAAUAUUGUUUAAUCUUAUCUUUUCCUUAUCCAUAUGGAAGUCCCAAUUUUAUUUUAUUUUUGAGAGGUGGAGGAAGUCCCAGUUUUUCAAUGGAUUGUCCCAAUCAUGAAAUUAUCUCUUUGACUAAUCAAUUAAACUUUUGUCAUUUGGAAGAAUUGUUCUAGCUUAAAAUUGAGAAGAAUGCAUCCAUUUAAUUUAAGGGUCUAAUGGGGUCGGUUAAUUUUCUCAAUACACAAAUUGACAAAUUUGUUAUCCACUAUGUACCACCUAUUAUGGUGGUUCUUUUUUUUUGGUUUUCACACUGGUUUCUAGGGAUGGGGCGCCAGUAGUCCAGAUUUCGGAGUCAAUUCUGACAUUAAGUGGUUCCGGUCCCUUACCAAAUGCUCAAUUAUGGUGGUCCAUUUUAGCCACUACUCAAUUAUUGUGAUUUUUUUCUGCGAAAUUAUUAGACACGACACUAAAGACGAUAUUGACAUGUUAACAUUAAUAUUUACACUGUCACAUCUUCGGUCAGAAGUAUCAGUGCUACAUAGUUUGAAUCCUCCCACUUGAUGGAUGCAGGUCUAUAAAGAGAUUUAAACUUGAAAAACUGUAUCCACAACAGGGAUAAGGAAAAAAAUGGAAAUCUCUAAAACCAAUGAAAUUUCAGUGACAACAAAACAUGACUAUGAUAGAAUAAGUGAGCUCAAAGCAUUUGAUGACACAAAAGAUGGUGUUAAAGGACUUGUUGAUGCUUCUGUCACAAAAAUCCCUCGCAUGUUCUAUCAUGAAUUCAACAAGGAUUCAUCUUCAACUUCAAGCAACAUCACCAAACUUGAUGUUCCUACUAUUGAUCUUGUUGAUAUUCAUCAAGAUCCAACCACACGGAAAAUAGUUGUCGAGAAAAUUAGAGAAGCAUCUGAAAAAUGGGGUUUCUUUCAAAUUGUUAAUCAUGGAAUUGAAGUGAGUGUUUUGGAUGAGAUGAAGAAUGGAGUGAUUAGAUUCUUUGAGCAAGAUUCUGAAGUGAAACGAGAACUAUAUUCGCGUGAACCUUCGAGGCCUUUCAUUUAUACUAGCAACUUUGAUCUUUAUAAUUCACCAGCUGCAAAUUGGAGGGAUACCUUUUAUUGUAUUAUGGCUCCAAAAUCUCCUAAACCAGAAGAUUUGCCAUCAGUGUGCAGGUAUAUAUUACAACUUGUGUUUAAAUACAACGGUCUAAUUUACAAAAUUACCCUUGAACUAUGAGCCUUGCUUAACGACUUGUCAAUUUUUCACUAAACCUAGGGUCAUACUUAACAAUAUCAUAUCUUUGUAACAGAUUUUGAUAAUAACUUAGAUUAAACACCAAGUUUAGGGCCAAACCAAUUGCAAACAUGAAAUUUUAAGGCCAAACCACGUUUGACUUUUGCAAACGCGCGUUUGAAGCGUUCUAAAACCUAACGAGUACUAAGAUAUUAUGCCCAUAUGAUUGCAGAGAUAUAAUACUGGAAUACACAAAACAAGUUAUGAAACUGGGAAAUGUGCUGUUUGAGUUAUUAUCAGAAGCACUUGGACUGAAUCCAAACUAUUUAAAUGAAAUGAGAUGCAAUGAGGGACAUGCAAUUGUUUGCAAUUACUAUCCUUCUUGUCCUGAACCAGAACUGACUUUGGGAUUAACCAAACAUACUGAUGAUGACUUUAUCACUAUGCUUCUACAAGAUCAUAUUGGUGGCCUCCAAGUUCUUCAUGAAAAUAGUUGGGUUGAUGUAUCACCUGUUCCUGGUGCUCUAGUCAUCAACAUUGGUGAUCUUCUACAGGUGAUUUUUAUCGAGAUUAAUUUUGAUGCAUUAUCGGUAUAAACUUUUUUCUGUUGAUUAACUAAUUAACAAAUUUUCUGUCAAAAAAAGAACUAAUUAACCAAUCUGUUGAAAACAGCUUAUAACAAAUGAUAAAUUCAAGAGUGUUGAGCACAGAGUGGUGGCAAACCAUGUAGGUCCAAGAGUAUCAGUUGCAAACUUUUAUAGCACAAGUUAUCAGCCAUCAACAAGGCUUUAUGGUCCUAUAAAGGAAUUACUAUCAGAAGAUAAUCCUCCAAAAUACAAGGAAACUACAGUUCAGAAUUUUGUUGAAUUCUCCAUGGGAAAAGGCCUUGAUGGAACUUCUGCUUUGCCAUAUUUCAAGAUUGGAAGUUUCUGAUGCACACACAACAACUGUGGUUUAACAUGCUCACAAUAUAAUUAAAAGAACUUUGUAAAAUUUACUUCUUUUGUGUUAACUUCCUUAGCAAGCAAAAGAAGUAAAUGUGUGUAGAGAUAGAGACUAUUACUCCUGUCUUUCCUAUUUGUGAAAAAGUUGUUAAAAAAUACCUAUUUGUGAAAAAGUUGUUAAAAAAAUACUCCCUACUUCAAGUAAUGUAGAUCAGAUUAAUUAAUUAUUCGAUGAAUCUGAAAAGUCUAGUUUUUUGCGUAUAUUUGAAACCAAGGAGAAUAAUGAUCAAUUUUAAUUAAUUUUUAAAGCAAUAUUAAUUGAUUUUUGAAUU